CCGCGCGCGUCUUAUUCUACUGACUGAAUACCCGGCUGCGGGGUUCGGGAUUCUAUCUACUAAUUCAGAUUCCAAGUAGUACAACCCCCAUAUCUAUGCGGCGUAUGUGCGACUUAUUGCUUUUUUUGCUUAUUGGAAAUAUAUCUCGUUAUGGAGUAAUUGUGAUCACAUAUAUUCAGCAUAUUGAUCGGCACGUUUACACAGUGGCAUGAUUGUUGUGGCAAGUGGCGGAUGUGACAAAAAAGAAAAGCACGGAAUUACGGAGCAAUAUUCAUUUGGUGUAAGUGACAACGGUCAGUUACACGUGACCCUUGAGGGACAACGCUGCUGUUACGUCCGCUUUUUGAGGGUGGACAUCCCAUUGAGUGAUGGCGACGUAACUACCCUUUACUCAAAUGCUGAUGACGUGCUCAAAGACACCGAACAAGACAUGAGAAACGUGAUCUCCCUUGUGAUACUUCUAGGUAAACCCAGUGUGAAC